UACGGAGGGUGCAAGCGUUAUCCGGAUUCACUGGGUUUAAAGGGAGCGUAGGAGGGCAGGUAAGUCAGUGGUGAAAUCUUCGAGCUUAACUCGGAAACUGCCGUUGAUACUAUCUGUCUUGAAUACCGUGGAGAUGAGCGGAAUAUGUCAUGUAGCGGUGAAAUGCUUAGAUAUGACAUAGAACACCAAUUGCGAAGGCAGCUCGUUACACGAAUAAUUGCUCUGAGGCUCGAAAGCGUGGGGGAUCAAAACAGG
rnacentral:rRNA from 1 species